rnacentral:rRNA from 1 species
AGAUUGAACGCUGGCGGCGUGCUUAACACAUGCAAGUCGAGCGGUAACGCGGGAGCAAUCCUGGCGACGAGCGGCGAACGGGUGAGUAAUGCUUGGGAAUCUGCCCAUUAGUGGGGAACAACCAGCCGAAAGGUUGGCUAAUACCGCAUACGCCCUACGGGGGAAAGCGGGGGAUCGAAAGACCUCGCGCUAAUGGAUGAGCCCAAGUCGGAUUAGCUUGUUGGUAGGGUAACGGCCUACCAAGGCGACAAUCCGUAGCUGGUCUGAGAGGACGACCAGCCACACUGGGGACUGAGACACGGCCCAGACUCCUACGGGAGGCAGCAGUGGGGGAAUAUUGGACAAUGGGGGCAACCCUGAUCCAGCGACGCCGCGUGUGUGAAGAAGGCCUGCGGGUUGUAAAGCACUUUUAGUGGGGAUGAAAAGCUCAGGGUUAACACCUCUGGGUCUUGACCUAACCCACAGAAAAGCACCGGCUAACUCUGUGCCAGCAGCCGC